rnacentral:rRNA from 1 species
CAGCCGCCGCGGUAAUACGGAGGGUGCAAGCGUUAAUCGGAAUUACUGGGCGUAAAGCGCACGCAGGCGGUCUGUCAAGUCAGAUGUGAAAUCCCCGGGCUUAACCUGGGAACUGCAUUUGAAACUGGCAGGUUAGAGUCUUGUAGAGGGGGGUAGAAUUCCAGGUGUAGCGGUGAAAUGCGUAGAGAUCUGGAGGAAUACCGAUGGCGAAGGCAGCCAUCUGGCCUAAUACUGACGCUGAGGUACGAAAGCAUGGGGAGCAAACAGGAUUAGAUACCCCGGUAGUCCCUGUCUCUUAUAC